rnacentral:rRNA from 1 species
UACGUAGGGGGCAAGCGUUGUCCGGAAUUAUUGGGCGUAAAGAGCGUGUAGGCGGCCAGAUAAGUCCGCUGUGAAAUCUCGAGGCUCAACUUCGAGCUGUCGGUGGAAACUAUCUGGCUAGAGUCCGGAAGAGGAGAAUGGAAUUCCUGGUGUAGCGGUGAAAUGCGCAGAUAUCAGGAAGAACACCCGUGGCGAAGGCGGCUUUCUGGGACGGUACUGACGCUGAGACGCGAAAGCGUGGGGAGCGAACAGG